rnacentral:siRNA from 1 species
UAGUUUUGCAGGAGUUAGUGAUC